AGCGUUGUCCGGAUUUAUUGGGCGUAAAGAGCUCGUAGGCGGCUUGUCGCGUCGACUGUGAAAACCCGCAGCUUAACUGUGGGCCUGCAGUCGAUACGGGCAGGCUAGAGUUCGGUAGGGGAGACUGGAAUUCCUGGUGUAGCGGUGAAAUGCGCAGAUAUCAGGAGGAACACCAGUGGCGAAGGCGGGUCUCUGGGCCGAAACUGACGCUGAGGAGCGAAAGCGUGGGGAGCGAACAGGAUUAGAUACCCUGGUAGUCCACGCCGUAAACGGUGGGCGCUAGGUGUGGGAUGCUGUUCACGUGUCCCGUGCCGUAGCUAACGCAUUAAGCGCCCCGCCUGGGGAGUACGGCCGCAAGGCUAAAACUCAAAGGAAUUGACGGGGGCCCGCACAAGCGGCGGAGCAUGUGGAUUAAUUCGAUGCAACGCGAAGAACCUUACCUGGGUUUGACAUGCACUGGACCGGCGUAGAGAUACGCCUUCCCUUGUGGCUGGUGCACA
rnacentral:rRNA from 1 species